rnacentral:tRNA from 1 species
GGUGUUGCGCCGGACGAACGGACAACUUUGAUGACGUUGAAUAUGAGAAUCUUCUCCAACACCU